GACCAGGGCUNCACNCGUGCUNCAAUGGUCGGUACAAAGGGUUGCUACCUAGCNAUAGGAUGCUAAUCUCAAAAACNCCGAUCNUAGUCCGGAUUGGAGUCUGCAACUNGNCUCCANGAAGUNGGAAUCNNUAGUAANCCCGGAUCAGAANGCUGCGGUGAAUACGUUACCCGGGCCUUGUACACUCCGCCCGUCACACCAUGGGAAUUUGUUGCACCAGAAGUAGGUAGUCCUAACCGCAAGGAGCGACGCUUACCACGGUGUGGCCGAUGAUCUGGGGUGAAGUCGUAACAAGGUAGCCGUAGGGGAACCUGCGGCUGGAUACAC
rnacentral:rRNA from 1 species